CCGAGCGCUAGUGCGGAGGCUUAACGGCAGUCUGGGGGACUGGGGGUCGAGAGUUCGAAUCUCUCCGCUCCGACCA
rnacentral:tRNA from 1 species